GAUUCAAAAUUUGUUGUAUAUUCAAGCCCGGCUUUUGUGUAAUUUUGGUGAUGACCGGAACAGAAAUAAAGAUAUUUUAAAAACUGGCCGUGGCCUCACGAUAAAACUUUCUACAAAUGUUCUCUGUUUCAUGUACUUUUAUUUGAUAUCUUAGGUAUAAGCGUAAAAAUAGGGGCUCAUACAGUUUAAGAAGUUGUAAAAUGCAUGACUUGCCUCUAUUUUCAUGUAAACAUUCGAAAUUCUUCGACAGCAAAGUAGCAACUGUUUCAGAUCGAAUGCACACGG